AAACGUCAGGGGCAAAGUACAGGAAGCCGUUCGGGCUUGCACGAGAAGGCUUCCUGCCAUUUGCCCCGCCUAAUGCCGAAAACGUAAUAAAAAGUUGUAAACAUAACUUUUUAUGGGACUUUGAGGUAUGGGAUUACGGGAAUUGCGAAGCAAUGGAGUAAUCAGGAGGUAG
rnacentral:sRNA from 10 species